GUGCUGUGAUGUACUGACAACACAUCAUUCUGAAAAGAAGUAUGCUUGAUUUCCUGUGACUGAGCACA